UGGGGAAUAUUGCACAAUGGGCGCAAGCCUGAUGCAGCCAUGCCGCGUGUAUGAAGAAGGCCUUCGGGUUGUAAAGUACUUUCAGCGGGGAGGAAGGGAGUAAAGUUAAUACCUUUGCUCAUUGACGUUACCCGCAGAAGAAGCACCGGCUAACUCCGUGCCAGCAGCCGCGGUAAUACGGAGGGUGCAAGCGUUAAUCGGAAUUACUGGGCGUAAAGCGCACGCAGGCGGUUUGUUAAGUCAGAUGUGAAAUCCCCGGGCUCAACCUGGGAAAUGGAUCUGAUACUGGGAAGGUUUAGGCUAGGAGAGGGGGGUAGAAUUCCAGGUGGAGAGGGGAAAAGCGUAGAGAUCUGGGGGAAAACCGGUGGGGAAGGCGGGCCCCUGGACGAAGACUGACGCUCAGGGGCGAAAGGGUGGGGAGCAAACAGG
rnacentral:rRNA from 1 species